UCCAGACUCCUACGGGAGGCAGCAGUGGGGAAUAUUGGGCAAUGGGCGCAAGCCUGACCCAGCAACGCCGCGUGAAGGAAGAAGGCUUUCGGGUUGUAAACUUCUUUUAAGAGGGAAGAGUAGAAGACGGUACCUCUUGAAUAAGCCACGGCUAACUACGUGCCAGCAGCCGCGGUAAUACGUAGGGGGCAAGCGUUAUCCGGAUUUACUGGGUGUAAAGGGAGCGUAGACGGCCAGACAAGUCUGAAGUGAAAAUCCAGCGCUUAACGUUGGAAGUGCUUUGGAAACUGCCGGGCUGGAGUGCAGGAGGGGCAGGCGGAAUUCCUAGUGUAGCGGUGAAAUGCGUAGAUAUUAGGAGGAACACCAGUGGCGAAGGCGGCCUGCUGGACUGCAACUGACGUUGGGGCUCGAAGGCGUGGGGAGCAAACAGGAUUAGAUACCCGCGUACA
rnacentral:rRNA from 1 species